rnacentral:tRNA from 1 species
GCGGGUGUAGCUCAGUUGGUAGAGCGCGGUCCUUCCAAGUCCGAUGUCGCGUGUUCGAAUCACGUUACCCGCU